CCAUUUGAGGGGUCGUAGGCAAUUCGAGAGCGGCUGCGCGAAUUCACUUUCGGAUCCCGCUUUCAGUACGCCGCCUUUCGAGCCAAGAGAAAACGGGCGGGAUAUUCACAAGAUGACCUGGAGGAGACUUACGGCUUUUUGCUCUUUGAUGACGUCAACAAGGCCAAUGCGCUCGGGCGAACUGGAGUUCUCACUGGGACCAGCUCCUGUUGCAGCUUGGGAGACCCCCUCAAGGGUGUUUACAUCUCCAUGUUCUCGGACUGUUUGGGGCCGGAGCGCUGGCAGGACGGCCAAUCGGGAUACAUCGCCGUAAUCAAGCUGACGACGGUACAGGGAAGGGGGUGGGGGGG